GGUCAAUGAACAUGGACUAGAAAAACUGAUUUCUUCUUCUUUUCUCUCAAAACCAUCUCUGAUUUGGGUGUUAAAGGUGUUUCCGCCCUUCAUAAUUAUAUAUGAUCAUGGGUCGGUAUAUAGCAGAUUUUGAUACAUGCAUAUCCAUCUCUUGCCAUUUAGGUAAUUGUUCCAAUCAACCAGUGUUUACAAGUAAUUAAUGUACAAAUACCCAAAGACAAAAUUGUCAUGCUUAUCCAUAAUCUAUUUUUCUUUGCGUCAAA
rnacentral:misc_RNA from 1 species